GUAGCAUUUAAGUUAAACUGAUCGAUGGUUUAUUACCAGUCAUAUCUACAUGUAAAUCAUGCAUAGUAAAGCAUUGAUUACAAUACAUAAAGGAGACACAGUCACUACCUCUUUGUGGAUGAGUUGUUUUGGUGAAAAACAAAUUGAUCUUAAUGAUUUUGAACGUUUAGUUGAAACUAUUUCUGUCGCGGAUUUAACCACAUUCAAGGACGUUAUUUGUGCUUACAAUCCAUCUUUACCUUUAAAGGUUUUUUUUUUAUAUUUCACCUUGGAUAUUUAUACGUUAAUAUGGAUAUUUCACCUCGGAUAUUUACACGUUAACGAAAUAUGAAAAUUUUGUUAAUGUUAACAGGUGUCUUUAUGUAUCAAGACUGUCUUAAAGGAUUGAUAUUUAUGUUGUGCAAGAAUAAAGUAACGUUUUAUAAAUAGUUAAUAACAGCAUGUUAAACUCAAUGAAUUCGGAAAUGAUGGACCCAAACGUCACGUUACGGAUGUUAUAUAUAACUGUGGUAGUGGUAGCUUUGUUUGUCACAUGUGGUCUUAUAGGGGCUCUUCAUGAGCACGGGUUUCAGGAUAGUCAAUACCCUCUCUAUGAUUGGAAUAAGAAAUUAAACGUUUAUGAAUCAAAUAGACGUCGCAGAGACACAAAAGGUUCCAGUUCUAAAAAAACCAACGCCUUAGCCAAGCACUACCGCCUGCCUAAGGAUUCAGUUCUAGAAACUCUGUCUAAUAACACAUUGAGCAAAGUCUAUUGGUUCUAUUUAAAUACAGUUCAGACAGUUUGUAGCAAUGUCACAAGUAUAGCCCCAGAUGGAGAUGGAAAGAAGAUAUGUGUUGACGAAUUUGAAAAGUCAAGAAAACAUUGUUUGGUGUAUUCUAUUGGAGAUGAUUUCAACUUUGAUUUCGAACUGCAUAUAAAAAACACAUAUAAGUGUGAAAUUCAUGUUAUAUAUGGACCUGGGGCAAAUCCUAAAGCUUUCAGUAAAGGCAGACAUUCUGAUGGGAACGAUGGAAAAUUUCUGAAAGGCAUCCAUUUUCACCAUAUGCAAAUGUCGGGAAGAAACUUACACAAUGAAGAAAAAAGACAUUAUAAAAUGUUCAUACUGAUCCAAAAAGCUUUAAACCAUGCAGAUAGAAUGAUAGACAUUGUGAAGAUGGAUCUUGAUGGGGAGGAAUGGCACGUGCUUCCAAAAUUAAUUGACGCGGGACUUUUAAAACAUGUGAAACAGUUGAUAAUAGAAACCCAUUUCGGAUGGGGAGGUGUACUAAAGUCAGAAGAUCUUAAAGUAUUGAGACAGUUAUACGAAGAAGGUUUCAGAAUAUCUGCAUACAAAUAUAAAGUGACACCAAAGGCUAUAGAAAGACUACCAAACUUAACAAUGUGUAAUGUAAAUGAAAUAUCAUUCUUUAAUAACAGACUGAAGCAUAAACAUCGUAAUUUUUAACGUUAAAAACACUUACCCUGCUAACUUUCUAUAAUGAACUUGUCCAUCUUUCAUUUCAGUUCAGUUUAUUUCAACAAGCAUGAAGGCCUCCGGCCCAUAUACACAAUAUUUACAUAGCUAAGCUUAUACAAUACAUGCAUACAGUUUGUACUUGUGUGAUACCCAGCUGACAUUUUAUUAAAUAUAAUACACAAAUAAUACAGUAAUUAUUCAGUUCGUCACAUAUUAUACAAAUUUCAUAUUACCUAUUGUCACUAUAUUCCGCUCUUAACUUAAAUGCAUAAUAUAUGUAUAUUGCCAAGUUUCUUAUAAUAUUAACAUUGGUACUUGACAUCAAAAUACAAAAUUUAUUAACAUUUGGAUAUCUAAAAUAUUUUUCUUGCAGAUAUUUUUGUCGUAUAUCUCUAUAUAUUGGACAAAUAAGUAUAAAAUGGUACUCGUCUUCGACACAAUUUUUACAAUAAAAACAUAAUCUAUCAUUUUUAGGUAUACCCAAAUGUCUUCCUUUUUCUAUUAAUAGUUGGUGAGAUGAGGAUCUUAGAGAGACGAUACUUGAUCUAAA
rnacentral:misc_RNA from 1 species